UACGUAGGUGGCAAGCGUUGUCCGGAUUUAUUGGGUUUAAAGGGUGCGUAGGUGGUCUAUUAAGUCAGUGCUGAAAUAUCCCGGCUUAACCGGGAGGGUGGCAUUGAUACUGAUGGACUUGAGUAAAGUUGAGGUAGGCGGAAUUGACGGUGUAGCGGUGAAAUGCUUAGAUAUCGUCAAGAACACCUAUUGCGAAGGCAGCUUACUAAGCUUUAACUGACACUGAUGCACGAAAGUGUGGGAUCAAACAGG
rnacentral:rRNA from 1 species